CUACAGCAGAAGAGGCAACGAGCUAACUCCGUGCCAGCAGCCGCGGUAAUUCUGAGGGUGCAAGCGUAAUUCGGAAUACUGGGCGUUAAAGCGCACGCAGCCGGGUUUGUUAAGUCAGAUGUGAAAUUCCCCGGCAUCAACCUGGGAACUGCAUCUGAUACUGGCAAGCUUGAGUCUCGUAGAGGGGGGUAGAAUUUCCAGGUGUAGCGGUGAAAUGCGUAGAGAUCUGGAGGAAUACCGGUGGCGAAGGCGGCCCCCUGGACGAAGACUGACGCUCAGGUGCGAAAGCGUGGGGAGCAAACAGGAUUAGAUACCCUGGUAGUCCACGCCCGUAAACGAUGUCGACUUGGAGGUUGUGCCCUUGAGGCGUGGCUUCCGGAGCUAACGCGUUAAGUCGACCGCCUGGGGAGUACGGCCGCAAGGUUAAAACUCAAAUGAAUUGACGGGGGCCCCGCACAAGCGGUGGAGCAUGUGGUUUAAUUCGAUGCAACGCGAAGAACCUUACCUGGUCUUGACAUCCACAGAACUUUCCAGAGAUGGAUUGGUGCCUUCGGGAACUGUGAGACAGGUGCUGCAUGGCUGUCGUCAGCUCGUGUUGUGAAAUGUUGGGUUAAGUCCCGCAACGAGCGCAACCCUUAUCCUUUGUUGCCAGCGGUCCGGCCGGGAACUCAAAGGAGACUGCCAGUGAUAAACUGGAGGAAGGUGGGGAUGACGUCAAGUCAUCAUGGCCCUUACGACCAGGGCUACACACGUGCUACAAUGGCGCAUACAAAGAGAAGCGACCUCGCGAGAGCAAGCGGACCUCAUAAAGUGCGUCGUAGUCCGGAUUGGAGUCUGCAACUCGACUCCAUGAAGUCGGAAUCGCUAGUAAUCGUGGAUCAGAAUGCCACGGUGAAUACGUUCCCGGGCCUUGUACACACCGCCCGUCACACCAUGGGAGUGGGUUGCAAAAGAAGUAGGUAGCUUGAUCUUCGCGAAGGCUGCAUACCUACUGCAGACCCACUGCCG
rnacentral:rRNA from 1 species